GAACGAGAGAGUUCGACGGUACUGACGCGACGUAGAAGCGCUCCGCAACUUUUACAAUUAAAUACAAUUUUAUUACAAAUAAUUCAGUCUCAUGAAGACUUAAAUUGAACGAAUCACCAAAUUAAACAUUACAAUUUGAGGACAGUACAAUACAAACAAUCCCAAACAAAGUUACAUUAAUGUGCCGGAGCAUCCCUAUACUCGUAUCCACAAAAAUUCAUUAACAAACUUCGGAACUUCAAUGGGGGAUCCUAUCGUCAGUAGCGUCCCUUGCACAGAUUCCGGGCGAUAUUAAAACAAAACGCAGAUAUUAGGCGCGUAAUGGCGAACCCGACGCGGCGACGACUCCUACAAUUGAUUCCAGAGAGCCUCGCGCCCACUAAAACAGCACUUAACAGGUACAGUACAGUAAUGACGUCGGCGAGAGGGUGUGAAUCUCGGCGGCUCACUCCGAUCCUGGGAUUUUCCCGGCAAUUAUACACAAUAGGCGGCGGACAAACGGCUCGGCCGCGUCUAUUGUUGCGGGAUAAAGGCCGCAGAUAUCGACCGAUUGAUUGCUUCUAGAGCGUUCGAUACUCUAAUCGAAAUUUAAGGACAUUAUGAAGAUCAAAUUUGGAUCACGGUUUGUCAAACGUGGAGAGUAAGGAAAAUACUGGGGACUUGUAGGUAUGUAACAUACUAGGUAUAUAUAUCUUCCAAGAACAUAAAUGAAUUAAUUGAAAGCGGCAAUUAUAUUGGAUCCUCCGUUCGUUCGCUUAAAGUGCGCGAUCAGGGAUCCAACAACACAUUGCCACGGUCUACAGUGGGAACAGCGUCAACUAAAGUUUACAGUUUUACGUGUUCUUAAACAAACGAGCAACUCACAUGAAGCUUCAUGAGAAACACUGGUUUUGGCGACCGUGGACAACAACACAUGCUGCUACAACUUCGACCUACGCAAGUCAAUUUAAAACCUCUGAACACGCAGCGGAAGUAACAGCGAAGAUUUUGUUUCGCGGACCAUUUAAUUUAUCAUAAAUAUUUGUAAUUACAUAGGUAUA